UACGGAGGGGGCAAGCGUUGUUCGGAAUUACUGGGCGUAAAGGGUUCGUAGGUGGCUCACUAAGUCACACGUGAAAUCCCUCAGCUUAACUGGGGAACUGCGUGUGAAACUGGAGAGCUUGAGGGUAGGAGAGGAAUGCGGAAUUCCAGGUGUAGCGGUGAAAUGCGUAGAUAUCUGGAGGAACACCGGUGGCGAAGGCGGCAUUCUGGACUAUUUCUGACACUGAUGAACGAAAGCCAGGGGAGCAAACGGG
rnacentral:rRNA from 1 species